GGAAGUAAAAGUCGUAACAAGGUUUCCGUAGGUGAACCUGCGGAAGGAUCAUUAGUGAAUAUAGGACGUCCAACUUAACUUGGAGUCCGAACUCUCACUUUCUAACCCUGUGCACUUGUUUGGGAUAGUAACUCUCGCAAGAGAGCGAACUCCUAUUCACUUAUAAACACAAAGUCUAUGAAUGUAUUAAAUUUUAUAACAAAAUAAAACUUUCAACAACGGAUCUCUUGGCUCUCGCAUCGAUGAAGAACGCAGCGAAAUGCGAUAAGUAAUGUGAAUUGCAGAAUUCAGUGAAUCAUCGAAUCUUUGAACGCACCUUGCGCUCCAUGGUAUUCCGUGGAGCAUGCCUGUUUGAGUGUCAUGAAUACUUCAACCCUCCUCUUUCUUAAUGAUUGAAGAGGUGUUUGGUUUCUGAGCGCUGCUGGCCUUUACGGUCUAGCUCGUUCGUAAUGCAUUAGCAUCCGCAAUCGAACUUCGGAUUGACUUGGCGUAAUAGACUAUUCGCUGAGGAAUUCUAGUCUUCGGACUAGAGCCGGGUUGGGUUAAAGGAAGCUUCUAAUCAGAAUGUCUACAUUUUAAGAUUAGAUCUCAAAUCAGGUAGGACUACCCGCUGAACUUAAGCAUAUCAAUAAGCGGAGGAA
rnacentral:rRNA from 1 species